GACGAACGCUGGCGGCGUGCUUAACACAUGCAAGUCGAACGGAAAGGCCCUGCUUUUGUGGGGUGCUCGUGUGGCGAACGGGUGAGUAACACGUGAGUAACCUGCCCUUGACUUUGGGAUAACUUCAGGAAACUGGGGCUAAUACCGGAUAGGAUCUCCUGCUGCAUGGUGGGGGUUGGAAAGUUUCGGCGGUUGGGGAUGGACUCGCGGCUUAUCAGCUUGUUUGUGGGGUAGUGGCUUACCAAGGCUUUGACGGGUAGCCGGCCUGAGAGGGUGACCGGCCACAUAGGGACUGAGAUACGGCCCAGACUCCAACGGGAGGCAGCAGUGGGGAAUAUUGCACAAUGGGCGGAAGCCUGAUGCAGCAACGCCGCGUGCGGGAUGACGGCCUUCGGGUUGUAAACCGAUUUCGCAUGUGACGAAGCGUGAGUGACGGUAAUGGGUAAAGAAGCACCGGCUAACUACGUG
rnacentral:rRNA from 1 species